rnacentral:rRNA from 1 species
GUGAGGAAUAUUGGUCAAUGGGCGCAAGCCUGAACCAGCCAUGCCGCGUGCAGGAAGACGGUCCUAUGGAUUGUAAACUGCUUUUAUUUGGGAAUAAACUCCGGUACGUGUACCGGCCUGAAGGUACCAAAUGAAUAAGCACCGGCUAACUCCGUGCCAGCAGCCGCGGUAAUACGGAGGGUGCAAGCGUUAUCCGGAAUCAUUGGGUUUAAAGGGUCCGCAGGCGGUCUUAUAAGUCAGUGGUGAAAGCCUACAGCUCAACUGUAGAACUGCCAUUGAUACUGUAGGACUUGAAUUCGAUCGAAGUGGGCCGAAUGUGACAUGUAGCGGUGAAAUGCUUAGAUAUGUCACAGAACACCGAUAGCGAAGGCAGCUCACUAGGUCUGGAUUGACGCUCAGGGACGAAAGCGUGGGGAGCAAACAGGAUUAGAAACCCCUGUAGUCC